rnacentral:tRNA from 1 species
GGGGUUGUAGCUUAGUGGUAGAGCACUUGCCUAGCAUGUCUGAGGCACUGGGUUCAAUUCUCAGCACCA